UGGGGAAUAUUGCACAAUGGGCGCAAGCCUGAUGCAGCCAUGCCGCGUGUGUGAAUAAGGCCUUCGGGUUGUAAAGCACUUUCAGCGGGGAGGAAGGCGGUGAGGUUAAUAACCUCAUCGAUUGACGUUACCCGCAGAAGAAGCACCGGCUAACUCCGUGCCAGCAGCCGCGGUAAGACGGAGGGUGCAAGCGUUAAUCGGAAUUACUGGGCGUAAAGCGCACGCAGGCGGUCUGUCAAGUCGGAUGUGAAAUCCCCGGGCUCAACCUGGGAGCUGCAUUCGAAACUGGCAGGCUAGAGUCUUGUAGAGGGGGGUAGAAUUCCAGGUGUAGCGGUGAAAUGCGUAGAGAUCUGGAGGAAUACCGGUGGCGAAGGCGGCCCCCUGGACAAAGACUGACGCUCAGGUGCGAAAGCGUGGGGAGCAAACAGG
rnacentral:rRNA from 1 species